UACGGGGGGGGCAAGCGUUGUUCGGAAUUACUGGGCGUAAAGGGCGCGUAGGCGGCCUGCUAAGUCGGACGUGAAAUCCCUGGGCUCAACCCAGGAACUGCGUCCGAUACUGGAAGGCUUGAAUCCGGGAGAGGGAUGCGGAAUUCCAGGUGUAGCGGUGAAAUGCGUAGAUAUCUGGAGGAACACCGGUGGCGAAGGCGGCAUCCUGGACCGGUAUUGACGCUGAGGCGCGAAAGCCAGGGGAGCAAACGGG
rnacentral:rRNA from 1 species